CUGUCAAAAGAGGUGCUCGUCCAAGUAGCCUCGCUUGAAUCAUCACAUGCAAUUUGGACCGCGCUAGCAAAUAUGUUUUCUGUGGUCUCUCUGUCUCGUGUCAAUAACAUCAGAUCGGCCCUCACAAACGCCCAGAAGGGGUCACAGUCGGCCUCCACCUUCUUCGGGCAGAUGCGUGCCCUCUCCGACGAGCUUGCGGCGGCAGGCAAACCGAUCGGGGAGGACGAGCUUAUCUCUUUCAUCGUCGCCGGGCUUGAUAUGGAGUAUCAGCCCAUCAUCUCUGCACUCGACGUCCGCACCGAGCCCAUCACCGUCGAUGCACUCUUCUCGAUGGUGGCAAACUUUGAUCAACGUGCUGAGAUGUUCAGCAGCGCUGGUGGCUUCAAAUCGUCAGCGAACGCCGCCUCCAGGGGUCGAUCGAGUGGCGGCAGAGGCGGCUACCGCAACCAGAAG
rnacentral:rRNA from 1 species